rnacentral:rRNA from 1 species
CUAUGCGCCUUGCCAGCCCGCUCAGGUGUGACAGCCGCCGCGGUAAUACGGAGGAUGCGAGCGUUAUCCGGAUUUAUGGGUUUAAAGGGUGCGUAGGCGGGAUGCCAAGUCAGCGGUAAAAAUGCGGUGCUCAACGCCGUCGAGCCGUUGAAACUGGCGUUCUUGAGUGGGCGAGAAGUAUGCGGAAUGCGUGGUGUAGCGGUGAAAUGCAUAGAUAUCACGCAGAACUCCGAUUGCGAAGGCAGCAUACCGGCGCCCUACUGACGCUGAGGCACGAAAGCGUGGGUAUCGAACAGG